CGUUUUUGAGAAUUUGGUUUGCAACUAGGUUUCAACAUCCAACCACGCCAUCAUCCCAUUGAUAACAUUAGGUCACGUCAGCUAGUUUCCUAUUCAUUUAUUUUAUUAUCCAUGGUCCGAUCUAGCCGGAGAAAUCGGACUUUUUUACAGGCUAAUUCGCAUGUUGUGACCGGCCCUAAUAAGUUUUGCCCCGGAAAAGGUUAAACCAGCACUGUUAGUUUUCCUCUCAAACUUACUGUUACUAUGUUGGGCUAGUUUUAAACCAAGCUGUUACCACAAAUGUUUGAGCAAAGUGUGAUUUUGUAGUGUUGUAAUAAUAGUGUUUUUACUCUGAAAGAAUGAGAUGUUUCAAGAAUACAUGGCUUGCUAAAGAUGUAUGGGCCACAGCUUUCGAUCUAUUAUGUUUUGAACACUUUUUCUCUUAGCAAGACCGGAAUCCUUUUGUUCUGAGUGACCAAGCUCUAUAUCAUCAGUGUUGUACACGUUUGAUUCCUUCUUGGAUAGAAGCUUUGUCGAUGACCCGAGGGUGCUGCUAAUGUUAUAUCCGUAGGUAUAGGCUGUCAUGUUGUUAGUUCCCCCACAAGACUGACGUUGGACAGAGAAAAAUUCUACCACAUCCUAACUAAUUCUCUUGGGAAUUAUGUAAUGGUUACCAGGAUGCUUCGACUGGAACAGUGGACUCUCAAUAAAUUGCACCAGAGCUUUAAAGCCAUUGAUUGAAACCUGUAAAAAAAUUUUUGCCAUUAUAUACUUAAUUUAAUAGUUUAAUUUAAUUUAAUAGCUUAGCCCUUGUACAAAUAUUAAUUAUCAGCACAUGGCAGGGAAUCCACAGCAGCUCAAGCCAAUUACUGCGGCCCCAACUUCAAACUAAAAUCACUUAACUAAAGUAGUCUGAUUAUCUGGUUUAAUGUCGGGUCUGAAAAUUUAACUUUUUCUUUUUAGGGAAUUCAACAGUCAACAACUAGACAAUUCAUUAAUUACACAAAAAUGCACAUAACAUGAGGAAAGGCUUGGUUGGCAAACUCAAACCAAAUUACCAAAACCAAAUUUCAGUAUCCCAUGGACAUUGGGAUACUGCAAAUUUCAGAUCCUGCAUGCUUCAUGGUGAUGGGGGGACUCCUCCCUGCUUUUUACGCAAAAAACUAAUUUUCAAAACAGCUUGGAAGUGCAGUACAUGAAAAAAGCAAUAAAUGUGACAGGUAGUGCUGCU